rnacentral:rRNA from 1 species
AUUGAACGCUGGCGGCAUGCCUUACACAUGCAAGUCGAACGGCAGCACGGGGCAACCUGGUGGCGAGUGGCGAACGGGUGAGUAAGGCAGCGGAACGUACCUUUCAGUGGGGGAUAACGUAGCGAAAGUUACGCUAAUACCGCAUAUUCUGUGAGCAGGAAAGCAGGGGCUCGCAAGCACUUGAGCUGAUGGAGCGGCCGAUGUCAGAUUAGCUAGUUGGUGAGGUAAAGGCUCACCAAGGCGACGAUCUGUAGCGGGUCUGAGAGGAUGAUCCGCCACACUGGAACUGAGACACGGUCCAGACUCCUACGGGAGGCAGCAGUGGGGAAUUUUGGACAAUGGGGGCAACCCUGAUCCAGCCAUGCCGCGUGAGUGAAGAAGGCCUUCGGGUUGUAAAGCUCUUUCGGCCGGGAAGAAAUCGCACGGGCUAAUACCCUGUGGAUGACGGUACCGGAAUAAGAAGCACCGGCUAACUACGUGCCAGCAGCCGCGGUAACAC